rnacentral:rRNA from 1 species
UGAGUUUGAUCCUGGCUCAGGAUGAACGCUGGCGGCGUGCUUAACACAUGCAAGUCGAACGAUGAAGCCCAGCUUGCUGGGUGGAUUAGUGGCGAACGGGUGAGUAACACGUGAGUAACCUGCCCUUAACUCUGGGAUAAGCCUGGGAAACUGGGUCUAAUACCGGAUAGGAGCGUCCACCGCAUGGUGGGUGUUGGAAAGAUUUAUCGGUUUUGGAUGGACUCGCGGCCUAUCAGCUUGUUGGUGAGGUAAUGGCUCACCAAGGCGACGACGGGUAGCCGGCCUGAGAGGGUGACCGGCCACACUGGGACUGAGACACGGCCCAGACUCCUACGGGAGGCAGCAGUGGGGAAUAUUGCACAAUGGGCGNAAGCCUGAUGCAGCGACGCCGCGUGAGGGAUGACGGCCUUCGGGUUGUAAACCUCUUUCAGUAGGGAAGAAGCGAAAGUGACGGUACCUGCAGAAGAAGCACCGGCUAA